rnacentral:rRNA from 1 species
UUAAGCGUCCAUACCACGUUGAAUACACCGGUUCUCGUCCGAUCACCGAAGUUAAGCAACGUCGGGCGCUGUCAGUACUUGGAUGGGCGACCGCCUUGGACGUUGGCUUUUAUUUUAU